CUACAGGCUUAACACAUGCAAGUCGAGGGGCAGCAUGGUCUUAGCUUGCUAAGACUGAUGGCGACCGGCGCACGGGUGAGUAACACGUAUCCAACCUGCCGUCUACUCUUGGACAGCCUUCUGAAAGGAAGAUUAAUACAAGAUGGCAUCAUGAGUCCACAUGUUCACAUGAUUAAAGGUAUUCCGGUAGACGAUGGGGAUGCGUUCCAUUAGAUAGUAGGCGGGGUAACGGCCCACCUAGUCUUCGAUGGAUAGGGGUUCUGAGAGGAAGGUCCCCCACAUUGGAACUGAGACACGGUCCAAACUCCUACGGGAGGCAGCAGUGAGGAAUAUUGGUCAAUGGGCGAGAGCCUGAACCAGCCAAGUAGCGUGAAGGAUGACUGCCCUAUGGGUUGUAAACUUCUUUUAUAAAGGAAUAAAGUCGGGUAUGCAUACCCGUUUGCAUGUACUUUAUGAAUAAGGAUCGGCUAACUCCGUGCCAGCAGCCGCGGUAAUACGGAGGAUCCGAGCGUUAUCCGGAUUUAUUGGGUUUAAAGGGAGCGUAGAUGGAUGUUUAAGUCAGUUGUGAAAGUUUGCGGCUCAACCGUAAAAUUGCAGUUGAUACUGGAUAUCUUGAGUGCAGUUGAGGCAGGCGGAAUUCGUGGUGUAGCGGUGAAAUGCUUAGAUAUCACGAAGAACUCCGAUUGCGAAGGCAGCCUGCUAAGCUGCAACUGACAUUGAGGCUCGAAAGUGUGGGUAUCAAACAGGAUUAGAUACCCUGGUAGUCCACACGGUAAACGAUGAAUACUCGCUGUUUGCGAUAUACAGCAAGCGGCCAAGCGAAAGCGUUAAGUAUUCCACCUGGGGAGUACGCCGGCAACGGUGAAACUCAAAGGAAUUGACGGGGGCCCGCACAAGCGGAGGAACAUGUGGUUUAAUUCGAUGAUACGCGAGGAACCUUACCCGGGCUUAAAUUGCAGAUGAAUUACGGUGAAAGCCGUAAGCCGCAAGGCAUCUGUGAAGGUGCUGCAUGGUUGUCGUCAGCUCGUGCCGUGAGGUGUCGGCUUAAGUGCCAUAACGAGCGCAACCCUUGUUGUCAGUUACUAACAGGUCCUGCUGAGGACUCUGACAAGACUGCCAUCGUAAGAUGUGAGGAAGGUGGGGAUGACGUCAAAUCAGCACGGCCCUUACGUCCGGGGCUACACACGUGUUACAAUGGGGGGUACAGAGGGCCGCUACCACGCGAGUGGAUGCCAAUCCCCAAAACCUCUCUCAGUUCGGACUGGAGUCUGCAACCCGACUCCACGAAGCUGGAUUCGCUAGUAAUCGCGCAUCAGCCACGGCGCGGUGAAUACGUUCCCGGGCCUUGUACACACCGCCCGUCAAGCCAUGGGAGCCGGGGGUACCUGAAGUGCGUAACCGCGAGGAGCGCCCUAGGGUAAAACUGGUGACUGGGGCUAAGUCAUAAC
rnacentral:rRNA from 1 species